rnacentral:rRNA from 1 species
AGCAGCCGCGGUAAUUCCAGCUCCAAUAGCGUAUAUUAAAGUUGUUGCAGUUAAAAAGCUCGUAGUUGAAUUUCGGGAUUGGCGCAUCGGUCGUGCCUCACGGGGUAUGAACUGGUGCAGUCAAUUUCUCACCUUCUGGAGAACCGCGAUGUCCUUAAUUGGAUGCCGCGGGGAACCAGGACCUUUACUUUGAAAAAUUAGAGUGUUUAAAGCAGGCAUUUUUGCUUGAAUACAUUAGCAUGGAAUAAUAAAAUAGGACGGCAUGGUUCUAUUUUGUUGGUUUCUAGGACCACCGUAAUGAUUAAUAGGGAUAGUUGGGGGCAUUAGUAUUCAAUUGUCAGAGGUGAAAUUCUUGGAUUUAUUGAAGACUAACUACUGCGAAAGCAUUUGCCAAGGAUGUUUUCAUUAAUCAGAACGAAAGCUAGGGGAUCGAAGACGAUCAGAUACCGUCGUAGUCUUAACCAAUAAACUAUGCCGACUAGGAAUCAGACGAUGUUAAUUUUUAA